UUUUAAUAUAUACCGUUAAUUUUCUUAUUUGAAUUGUUUACAUUAUUUAUGUCGUGGCCUUUUAUAGCCUUUGAGGUAUGGGUUUUUAUCAUUGUUGAAAGCCGUAUGGUUUAUAAUUGCUCACAUCCAUUUUAUUUGAACUCUGGUGUAUAGUUGUCCCUUUGAAAAUCAUACCAAUCUUUGUAAAAUAGAAAUCACACCUGUUUACAUACUUAGUCUAGUAUAAUAAUUUAAAAAAAACACACAUUUCUCAUUUAUUCCGUAUUUUACUUAUAACUGGACUUAGUUUUUCUGCUAGAUCUUAUUUGUCUCACUCUCAGAUAAUAUGAUAUGUUUAAAGGACUUCGGUCUAAAUGUUUCAGCUGCUUUCGGUUCAGUUUAGUUUUGUAUUUUGUGUCCAAAACGGACGUUGAUUAGAGAAGCUCAAAAUCGGACGUCGAUU
rnacentral:lncRNA from 1 species